AAUACAGCAGCAAAGGGGAAAAGUACCCCUCUCAAACCUCAAAGGCAAAACAAAUUUGGCCUUCUCGUCUCUCAGGAGUCUCACAUGUGCCCUUAUUCCUACUCAAAACUCCGAUGCUCUUCCGGUCUUCCCAACCUCAAUGCUAUAUUCGCAACAUAAACACAAACACUAAUUCUCCUCCAUUCCAGUCUGAAUCAUGGCUCUUGUGAGUAGGCUUCAAUCUCUGUCUUCCUCUUUGUCUUCCACCCAUUUCAGAAAACCCAACUGCUUAAACCCUCAACCCAUUUGCUCUCUACACUUCAACUCCCCUUCUUACACUUCUCCUUUUACAGAGAAGCAUUCUAUUGAGAGGUACCAGAGAGACCGGUGGCUAUACAAUAACCAAUUGGAGCAACCCACUCUAAUCUCUCUCCCUCCUGAUUCUGAUUCUGAUUUCACAAGGCAGAAUGACAUUGCUUUGCAGCUACCAGAACUGAGAAAGCUGCUUCAGGUGCUGCGAGAGAAGAGAGAGAGGGAAGGAGGGUGUGGUGGAGGCAAGUGUGGGCCUGGCAAUGUCUUCUUGGUGGGCACUGGCCCUGGGGACCCUGAACUCCUGACAUUGAAGGCUGUCAGAGUUAUUCAGAGUGCUGAUUUAUUGUUGUAUGAUAGGUUGGUGUCCAAUGAUGUGUUGGAUUUUGUUGCCUCUGAUGCUAGACUUGUCUAUGUGGGCAAGACUGCUGGGUACCAUAGCAGAACCCAGGAGGAGAUACAUGAAUUGCUACUGAGUUUUGCUGAAGCCGGAGCUACUGUUGUGAGAUUAAAAGGAGGGGAUCCACUGGUGUUUGGAAGGGGUGGAGAGGAGAUGGAUUUUUUGCAACAGCAAGGAAUUCAAGUGCAAGUUAUUCCUGGUAUCACUGCUGCUUCUGGGAUAGCAGCAGAGCUUGGGAUCCCAUUAACUCAUAGAGGUGUUGCAAAUAGUGUAAGAUUUCUGACCGGGCACUCCAGGAAGGGAGGAACAGAUCCUCUUUUUGUGACAGAGAAUGCAGCUGACCCUGAUUCGACCUUGGUGGUAUACAUGGGUUUGUCGACUCUCCCUUCUCUUGCUCAAAAGUUGGUCCCUCAUGGUCUGCCACCGACAACACCAGCUGUUGCAAUUGAGCGAGGGACCACACCUCAACAGCGCAUGGUCUUUGCAGAACUGAAGGAUCUUGCCAAUGAAAUUACAUCAGCAGAGUUAGUAUCACCAACGCUCAUCGUCAUUGGGAAAGUAGUUGCACUUUCACCAUUGUGGCCACAUAAUUUGAAUGAAGUGGUCUCUCUUGUUGGAGCCAUAUAAGACACAAUUGAGUAAUGCGACAAGAUAACCUCAUCCACUUUGACUUCAGAACUUUGGUUCACUGCUCAAAGUUUUCGUAAUUUGGACUUCCAGCUCAAUUUCAAAUCACUUUGAAUGGUGGAGGAUGAUCUUGCUUAAGAUCAGGUGAGUUAGCUGCUUCUUUUUUGGGGGCAGAUACUGUUUCGAGGAGCUAAUUGUUUACAAACAGUGCUGGGUUGUGCUAUAACAUUGUUCGAUGCCCUUGUGCGGGAAAGAAAGAAUUUCAUGCACUGAAGUGGAAGAGGGAGCUGGAUUUUUGUUCACUGGCAGACAGAAAAACGAGCCUUUUGUUCUGAGGUUUUCAUGGUCGUGUGAAUUGGUGGUUCCUUCUUUGGUUACCGGGCGCACGAGGAAGUUGAAACUACAGAUCAUUAUAAUGGCCAAACAAAGGAAUCUAAGGUCUUGAUCGACUGUCCUCGGGUCAUAGGCCACGUUUGGUUCGCGGAAAGGAAGCAUCAGGAAAGGAAACCGGCGUUUGGGAUGCAAAAAGAAAGGAAAUCGUUUCCUGAAUGAAGGGAAAAUAAGGGGGGAAGUGGUUCAUUCCAAAUCUCAAAGGAAUCACUUUCCUCUCUUCUUUACUUGCAUUUAUUACUCACAACAUAUUAUUUUAUUACAUUAUUGACAAAAUUUUAACAACUUUCCUUACGUUACCAAACAUCGGAAUAGAAAAUUGUUGGAAAAUUUCAUUUCCCUUCCCAUGGGAAAGACAAAGGAAUUACUUUCCUUUCCGUGAACCAAACGAGGCUUUAACGCUUUUAAAAGUCCAAAAUCGGGGACUAUAUGAUGA